CCAGCACCCAAAUCCAAGGGCUUAGUAUUAAUGUAAUAGUGGUUCAAACACAGGUGCUAACAGCAAAGGGGGCCCCAUCGCUUUUGGAGGACUGUCUGCGCCCUUCAAAGUGAAUUUAGAGGUUCUACACAC
ensembl:snoRNA